rnacentral:rRNA from 1 species
CCUACGGGGGGCAGCAGUGAGGAAUAUUGGUCAAUGGGCGCAAGCCUGAACCAGCCAAGUCGCGUGAGGGAUGACGGUCCUAUGGAUUGUAAACCUCUUUUGUCGGGGAGCAAGGCCCGCCACGUGUGGCGGGAAGGAGAGUACCCGAAGAAAAAGCAUCGGCUAACUCCGUGCCAGCAGCCGCGGUAAUACGGAGGAUGCGAGCGUUAUCCGGAUUUAUUGGGUUUAAAGGGUGCGUAGGCGGAAGGUUAAGUCAGCGGUCAAAUGUCGGUGCUCAACACCGGCCUGCCGUUGAAACUGGUCGUCUUGAGUGAGCGAGAAGUAUGCGGAAUGCGUGGUGUAGCGGUGAAAUGCAUAGAUAUCACGCAGAACCCCGGUUGCGAAGGCAGCAUACCGGCGCUCAACUGACGCUGAGGCACGAAAGCGUGGGGAUCGAACAGGAUUAGAUACCCUAGUAGUC